UAGCCGGUGGAAGUCCGGUCAAGGGAAGUGCCAAGACACCCUUGUAGCUUGGAUGCCUGCGUACGGAGAGAUCCGUGCGCAGAAGCGCAUCGACGAAAGUACCCGUCAGAGAAUGGGGCGAGCAAGAUACCAGGCCGUAACAUCA
rnacentral:ncRNA from 1 species